rnacentral:tRNA from 1 species
GGUCGCUUAGCUCAGUUGGUAGAGCGCUCGGCUUACAUCCGAAAGGUCAGAGGUUCGAGUCCUCUAGCGACCA